CAGUAGCCACGGUAAUACGAAGGGGGCUAGCGUUGUUCGGAUUUACUGGGCGUAAAGGGCGCGUAGGCGGGCGAAUAAGUCAGGGGUGAAAUCCCAAGGCUCAACCUUGGAACUGCCUUUGAUACUGUUUGUCUUGAGUCCGGGAGAGGUGAGUGGAACUGCGAGUGUAGAGGUGAAAUUCGUAGAUAUUCGCAAGAACACCAGUGGCGAAGGCGGCUCACUGGCCCGGAACUGACGCUGAGGCGCGAAAGCGUGGGGAGCAAACAGGAUUAGAUACCCGAGUAGUCCCUGUCUCUUAUAC
rnacentral:rRNA from 1 species